CAGUCGCCGCGGGAAUACAGAGGGUGCGAGCGUUAAUCGGAUUUACUGGGCGUAAAGCGUGCGUAGGCGGCUUUUUAAGUCGGAUGUGAAAUCCCUGAGCUUAACUUAGGAAUUGCAUUCGAUACUGGGAAGCUAGAGUAUGGGAGAGGAUGGUAGAAUUCCAGGUGUAGCGGUGAAAUGCGUAGAGAUCUGGAGGAAUACCGAUGGCGAAGGCAGCUAUCUGGCCUAAUACUGACGCUGAGGUACGAAAGCAUGGGGAGCAAACAGGAUUAGAUACCCGGGUAGUCCCUGUCUCUUAUAC
rnacentral:rRNA from 1 species